rnacentral:rRNA from 1 species
AGAGUUUGAUCCUGGCUCAGAUUGAACGCUGGCGGCAUGCUUUACACAUGCAAGUCGAACGGCAGCACGGGCUUCGGCCUGGUGGCGAGUGGCGAACGGGUGAGUAAUGCAUCGGAACGUGCCCAUUUGUGGGGGAUAACUACGCGAAAGCGUGGCUAAUACCGCAUACGCCCUGAGGGGGAAAGCGGGGGAUUCUUCGGAACCUCGCGCAAUUGGAGCGGCCGAUGUCAGAUUAGCUUGUUGGUGAGGUAAAGGCUCACCAAGGCGACGAUCUGUAGCGGGUCUGAGAGGAUGAUCCGCCACACUGGGACUGAGACACGGCCCAGACUCCUACGGGAGGCAGCAGUGGGGAAUUUUGGACAAUGGGGGCAACCCUGAUCCAGCCAUGCCGCGUGAGUGAAGAAGGCCUUCGGGUUGUAAAGCUCUUUCAGCCGGGAAGAAAGCGCACUCUCUAACAUAGGGUGUGGAUGACGGUACCGGAAGAAGAAGCACCGGCUAACUACGUGCCAGCAGCCGCGGUAAUACGUAGGGUGCAAGCGUUAAUCGGAAUUACUGGGCGUAAAGCGUGCGCAGGCGGUUAUAUAAGACAGAUGCGAAAUCCCCGGGCUCAACCUGGGAACUGCAUUAGUGACUGUAUAGCUGGAGUGCGGCAGAGGGGGAUGGAAUUCCGCGUGUAGCAGUGAAAUGCGUAGAUAUGCGGAGGAACACCGAUGGCGAAGGCAAUCCCCUGGGCCUGCACUGACGCUCACGCACGAAAGCGUGGGGGAGCAAACAGGAUUAGAUACCCUGGUAGUCCACGC